UUAGGAAUUUUCCACAAUGGGCGCAAGCCUGAUGGAGCAACGCCGCGUGCAGGAUGAAGGUUUUCGGAUUGUAAACUGCUUUUAUGUGUGAAGAAUAUGACGGUAACACAUGAAUAAGGAUCGGCUAACUCCGUGCCAGCAGCCGCGGUCAUACGGAGGAUCCAAGCGUUAUCCGGAUUUACUGGGCGUAAAGAGUUGCGUAGGUGGUUUGUUAAGUGAAUAGUGAAAUCUUGUGGCUCAACCAUAAGGCUAUUAUUCAAACUGGCAAACUCGAGAAUGAGAGAGGUCACUGGAAUUCCUUGUGUAGGAGUGAAAUCCGUAGAUAUAAGGAGGAACACCAAUGGCGUAGGCAGGUGACUGGCUCAUUUCUGACACUGAGGCACGAAAGCGUGGGGAGCGAACG
rnacentral:rRNA from 1 species